rnacentral:rRNA from 1 species
UACAGAGGGUGCGAGCGUUAAUCGGAAUUACUGGGCGUAAAGCGUGCGUAGACGGCUAUCUAAGUCGGGUGUGAAAGCCCCGGGCUCAACCUGGGAACUGCAUUCAAAACUGACAAGCUAGAGUAUGGUAGAGGGUGGUGGAAUUUCCUGUGUAGCGGUGAAAUGCGUAGAUAUAGGAAGGAACACCAGUGGCGAAGGCGACCACCUGGACUGAUACUGACACUGAGGUGCGAAAGCGUGGGGAGCAAACAGG